GAUGAACGCUGGCGGCGUGCCUAAUACAUGCAAGUCGAGCGAACAGACGAGGAUCUUGCUCCUCUGACGUUAGCGGCGCACGGGUGAGUAACACGUGGAUAACCUACCUAUAAUUCUGGGAUAACUUCGGGAAACCGGCUCUAAUACCGGAUAAUAUAUUGAACCGCAUGGUUCAUUAGUGAAAUACGGUUUUGCUGUCACUUAUAGAUGGAUCCGAGCCGCAUUAGCUAGUUGGUACGGUAACGGCUUACCAAGGCUACGAUGCGUAGCCGACCUGAGAGGGUGAUCGGCCACACGGGAACUGAGACACGGUCAAGACUACUACGGGAGGGAGCAGUAGGGAAUCUUCGGCAAUGGGCGAAAGUAUGACGGAGCAAGGGGGCGUGAGUGAUGAAGGUCUUGGGAUCGGAAAACUCGGUUAUUAGGGAAGAACAAAUGUGUAAGUAAAUAUGCACGUCUUGACGGUAACUAAUCAGAAAGCCACGGCUAACUACGUG
rnacentral:rRNA from 1 species